rnacentral:pre_miRNA from 1 species
GUCUUACCAUGGGUUUCCUGCAAGCACUUCAGGAGGCAUUGUUUGAAAGACCAUUGUUAAGUGUUUGGGGGAACUCUUGGUAUCAU